rnacentral:rRNA from 1 species
GGUUAAGUUAGAAAGGGCGCACGGUGGAUGCCUUGGCACUAGGAGCCGAUGAAGGACGGGACGAACACCGAUAUGCUUCGGGGAGCUGUAAGCAAGCUUUGAUCCGGAGAUUUCCGAAUGGGGAAACCCACUGCUCGUAAUGGAGCAGUAUCCAUAUCUGAAUUCAUAGGAUAUGAGAAGGCAGACCCGGGGAACUGAAACAUCUAAGUACCCGGAGGAAGAGAAAGCAAAUGCGAUUCCCUGAGUAGCGGCGAGCGAAACGGGAACAGCCCAAACCAAGAGGCUUGCCUCUUGGGGUUGUAGGACACUCUGUACGGAGUUACAAAAGAACGAGGUAGAUGAAGAGGUCUGGAAAGGCCCGCCAUAGGAGGUAACAGCCCUGUAGUCAAAACUUCGUUCUCUCCUGAGUGGAUCCUGAGUACGGCGGAACACGUGAAAUUCCGUCGGAAUCCGGGAGGACCAUCUCCCAAGGCUAAAUACUCCCUAGUGACCGAUAGUGAACCAGUACCGUGAGGGAAAGGUGAAAAGCACCCCGGAAGGGGAGUGAAAGAGAUCCUGAAACCGUGUGCCUACAAGUAGUCAGAGCCCGUUAACGGGUGAUGGCGUGCCUUUUGUAGAAUGAACCGGCGAGUUACGAUCCCGUGCAAGGUUAAGUUUGAAAAGACGGAGCCGCAGCGAAAGCGAGUCUGAAUAGGGCGCAUGAGUACGUGGUCGUAGACCCGAAACCAGGUGAUCUACCCAUGUCCAGGGUGAAGUUCAGGUAACACUGAAUGGAGGCCCGAACCCACGCACGUUGAAAAGUGCGGGGAUGAGGUGUGGGUAGGGGUGAAAUGCCAAUCGAACCUGGAGAUAGCUGGUUCUCUCCGAAAUAGCUUUAGGGCUAGCCUCAAGGUAAGAGUCUUGGAGGUAGAGCACUGAUUGGACUAGGGGCCCCUACCGGGUUACCGAAUUCAGUCAAACUCCGAAUGCCAAAGACUUAUCCUUGGGAGUCAGACUGCGAGUGAUAAGAUCCGUAGUCGAAAGGGAAACAGCCCAGACCGCCAGCUAAGGUCCCAAAGUAUACGUUAAGUGGAAAAGGAUGUGGAGUUGCUUAGACAACCAGGAUGUUGGCUUAGAAGCAGCCACCAUUUAAAGAGUGCGUAAUAGCUCACUGGUCGAGUGACUCUGCGCCGAAAAUGUACCGGGGCUAAACGUAUCACCGAAGCUGCGGACUGUUCUUGCGAACAGUGGUAGGAGAGCGUUCUAAGGGCUGUGAAGCGAGACCGGAAGGACUCGUGGAGCGCUUAGAAGUGAGAAUGCCGGUAUGAGUAGCGAAAGAGGGGUGAGAAUCCCCUCCACCGAAUGCCUAAGGUUUCCUGAGGAAGGCUCGUCCGCUCAGGGUUAGUCGGGACCUAAGCCGAGGCCGAAAGGCGUAGGCGAUGGACAACAGGUUGAUAUUCCUGUACCACCUCCUCACCAUUUGAGCAAUGGGGGGACGCAGGAGGAUAGGG